UUGAAGUGGCAAUUUGGGCUCGAUUUAUUUCUACAGAAAAUAAUGCAAGCUAUAAAAUUGCAAUUGAAAAAUCCCAUCAAGAAAACAUGUAUGAAGGCUUAAUAUAUAU
rnacentral:sRNA from 1 species